AUAAAUAUAAAAAAAAAUAAAUAAAUAUCUAGAUUGAGGCAACGCGCGUACCGGUAUCAGACGAAGCGAGUGUAUAUUCACGACUCACGUUUCGUGGAAUUUUAUAGCAAAUGGGAUCUGUCACACUGAACGUUGGUGAGCCCGUCUCGGGUGCCGCCAUAUUCCGGGGACUCGGAACUUCGGAGGUUUCCUGGGUAUGAGAGUUUCGGGUCUCGUUCUUUCUGCCAACGGAACGGCUGGUGAUAAGAAGUGCGCGACGCGACUAGUGACUUUAACCUUUGCCUUUGCCUUUUACCUUAAUAGUUUUACCUAAGUGAAUUCUUGGAUUUUUGCGUCCGCUUUCUUAAAUACAGCUCACUUUAACAUACAAUAAGCAGCGUCCAAUAAGACGCUUUUUGUAUGGGCUGGAAAUUUUUGCUGCAAUUGCGAAAGCCCACGCCGGGUUUCGUACGCCGUCCUGCGGGACGUUCCUCUACGUUUUGGAUCAGCAUCUCGGCGCGUCUUCGCCGCCAUCUUGGUGACUCUACAUUCCGUGAUCGUGUGACGCUCCGGCCCGCCAUCUUGGCAGUCAAACGGAGUCGUGGAAGUUCGUCAAUUCCCGUUGGCAGAAACCACACACCGGUCGCCAAUUGCCGGUCGUGAAAAGGGUCCACCACGUUACAACCCCCGGACCCUUCCGAGAGCCGUACGUAGUCAAAUCGUCGUACACACCCGGGUCGGGAAUCCUGUUGGUUUUAACUUAAAGCCUCCAAUGGUGGGGUGUUCGUUUGCCUCCAGGACGAAGACCCAGUCCGGACAGCGCCCGACACUCCGUGUCCAUCGCGCGUGAGCUGAGCUCGGCUCGCUCUUUAUUGGCUCUGCGGAAUUGUGCACUUGUGAAAUCGGAAAGCUUCCCGUCCAGCCGCCCACACUCCGCAACUUUAGUUUCGGCCACGAGCGUCCACGUAGUCCUACGUCACCCAACGAGGGAGCUGGAACGCACCACGUGACCAGCGUCUACCUUCUCGGCGUCGUGAUCAACCGCACGGCCAAUCAGCAUCGAGCGUCGCUCGACGGCGGAUUCCCGCCAAAGCAGAGGAACCAACUCGACACCUCCAGACUGCCAGCAUCUACCAGAACAUCGCAUCAGCAGCUUUCGCCGGCCCUCGACGGCCGGGCGUCUUCGCAGCAGCAUGUGCACCAACACCAACAAAACCCUGCGCAGGUAUGUGAGAGACCCUUGAAUCAUGGCCAUGUUUCCUCUCUCCCAUUUCCCUUACCCACACAAACAAUUGUCUAGCUCGAACUCUCGCGGUAGUUUUAUGCUCCGGGAAAUGGAAUCCCGCAAAUACACAGUGAAACCAUGAUUUUGCGAACAUGAAUUUAUUCUUUUUUUUCCCCUCAUGCGUUACCUUGAAUAAAUCUCUAUGAACGUGCACUCUUGAUAACCUUUUCGUUUUCGUUCUUUGAAAUCAUACCUUCCUUUUCCCUAACUUUCCGUUGUCUGAAAGAACCAGAAUCGAAGAUCUCCGUGGGUCACUACACGUUCAAUUUGAUAAGAUCCCAUUUUAGUUAUUUUUGGUAAUUUCGUCUGCGUAAAAGCCGUAUGCCGACUAACGACCCUGAGAGCUAAUGUCGGGCAACUAACACGACGGGUGGCCUCUUGUUUCGGCAAGAGUGGCGCAUAAGCCACUGCGUUUAAAACUACAAAAAUCUUCAUAGCACGGUUAGGUCGGUUACAACCUGCCCACGUUGACCAAACCGAGAGGGGGAAUUUACGCUCCUUUGGAAUGAGAGCCACGAGGGCCCGAGCGUGCUCCUUGGAAAUUAUGGUCCACGGACCAGAGCAACGGAUGAUCUUUGACGAUUAGACGCAGUAAGCCGGCUCCUCCGCGCUUACGCAAACUGGGCCGAAGAGCGAGCGAUCUGGCGGUCAAGCGGCGUGCUUAACUCGCAAAAUGGCGUUUACGCCAAAGGACAAAAGGUCCUGGAGGACAAUGGAGAGAAGUAAUUAUUUUUUAGCCGUACUACUAGGUAGGGUAGUUUAGCUUUAGUCGUCCUUCCGCAUAGCCGAAUACGGGGUUUAGAACAUACCUGAACGACUGGAGGUGCACUCGCACAAAUUUCCACCACUUUCACUUCUAGUCCUUCGCUCUACUUUUUAUAACGGUAUAGAUCGCUCACUUGCCUGGGAGAAUGUGACCGUUGGCGGUCUAAUUCUCGUCCCUUCAAGACUUUUGGUCGGUGACACGACAUUACGUCACGUGACACCCAUCACUUUUGGGCGUUGUCUACCACCCCCUUUGCGAUGUUUUAAGACGAAGACAAUACUGUCGCUGGUUGUUGGUUUGUCCCACCGUUUGUGUGUUGUUAUAGUGUGUUAACAAGUUGUGUUUUUAUUUAUUAAUUUCCCCUUUUUACUAACCCUACUAACUAAAUUACAUUUAUUUAUUUAUUCCCUAAUUCCCUACUAACCCCAUAGCUAAGAAUCGUGAAAGUUCGCAUUUAUUUUUGGUUUAUUGAUGUUGAAGAAUGGAGGACUUGUAACGAGUGGUUACAGACCUUCACAGUGCUGGCAGCGGUCCCCAAACUUUGGCCCAGCUGUCCCAACAGAAGAUGCAAGUGUUUUCAGCUAACUUAACCUGCGCCAGCUUGCAAUAGAAUAACUGUGAUAUCACUCCCUAUGCGCAAUUUAAGUCAAGUAGCUAAGCUGUUGACAUUUACAAAAACUUUUAAUAUUGAUUAUCGCCGGAUAAAAUCAAACUCCUCCUCGCUGUGAGUGACAGGACAUUAUUGCUGCGUAAAUACCGCGGUGUAAAAAUCAGCAAGUUGUGCUCCAUAAUAUUUUGCUAACGAGAAUCUGAAUGUUUUGCUUAAUAUUGGGAAAGAGAUUCAUCUCGAUAGAAUCGCAGGUGAUAUUGGACGAACGUAAACAAUAUUUGGGUAAGUCUUAUUUGAGACAAAUUUGAUGACAAGUCUGUCACACAAUAAUUGCUAAUUGGCCGUCCAGGAAACAGUUUUUGUUCUGUUUCAAACAGAGGUUCUCUUGAUGAGCGCUGAGGCUGUUGGACGUUCAUCUUUGGGGUUAUGUUAGAAGGAUGCAAACAUGGUACUACUAAAUUACUCGCGAUUUAGUGUGUUGUGGU